GAUGAACGCUGGCGGCGUGCCUAAUACAUGCAAGUCGAGCGAACAGACGAGGAGCUUGCUCCUCUGACGUUAGCGGCGGACGGGUGAGUAACACGUGGAUAACCUACCUAUAAGACUGGGAUAACUUCGGGAAACCGGAGCUAAUACCGGAUAAUAUAUUGAACCGCAUGGUUCAAUAGUGAAAGACGGUUUUGCUGUCACUUAUAGAUGGCUCCGGUCCGAAUUAGCUGGUUGGUAAGGUAACGGCUUACCAAGGCAACGAUGCUUAGCCGACCUGAGAGGGUGAUCGGCCAAAUGGGAACGGAGACACGGCCCAGACUCCUACGGGGGGCAGAAGAGGGGAAUCUUCCCCAAUGGGCGAAAGCCUGACGGAGCAACGCCGCGUGAUUGAUGAAGGUCUUCGGAUCUAAAAACUCUGUUAUUAGGGAAGAACAAAUGUGUAAGUAACUAUGCACGUCUUGACGGUACCUAAUCAGAAAGCCACGGCUAACUACGUG
rnacentral:rRNA from 1 species